rnacentral:tRNA from 2 species
CUCUGGAUAGCUCAGUUGGCAGAGCGAUGGACUGUAAAUCCACAGGUCGCCGGUUCAAAUCCGGCUCCGGAGA